rnacentral:rRNA from 1 species
AGAGCGAACGCUGGCGGCAGGCUUAACACAUGCAAGUCGAGCGGGCGUAGCAAUACGUCAGCGGCAGACGGGUGAGUAACGCGUGGGAACGUACCUUUUGGUUCGGAACAACCCAGGGAAACUUGGGCUAAUACCGGAUAAGCCCUUACGGGGAAAGAUUUAUCGCCGAAAGAUCGGCCCGCGUCUGAUUAGCUAGUUGGUGGGGUAAUGGCCCACCAAGGCGACGAUCAGUAGCUGGUCUGAGAGGAUGAUCAGCCACAUUGGGACUGAGACACGGCCCAAACUCCUACGGGAGGCAGCAGUGGGGAAUAUUGGACAAUGGGCGCAAGCCUGAUCCAGCCAUGCCGCGUGAGUGAUGAAGGCCCGUAGGGUUGUAAAGCUCUUUUGUGCGGGAAGAUAAUGACGGUACCGCAAGAAUAACGCCCGGCUAACUUCGCGCCAGCAGCCGC